GAUGAACGCUAGCGGGAGGCCUAAUACAUGCAAGUCGAACGGUAGAGUGACUUCGGUUGCUUGAGAGCGGCGAACGGGUGAGUAACGCGUACACAAUCUACCUUUAAGAGGGGAAUAGCCCUGGGAAACUGGGAUUAAUGCCCCAUGGCAUCACGAGACGGCAUCGUUUUGUGAUUAAAGCUGAGGUGCUUAGAGAUGAGUGUGCGUCUGAUUAGCUAGUUGGUGCGGUAACGGCGCACCAAGGCGACGAUCAGUAGGGGGCGUGAGAGCGUGGACCCCCACACGGGUACUGAGACACGGACCCGACUCCUACGGGAGGCAGCAGUAAGGAAUAUUGGUCAAUGGAGGAAACUCUGAACCAGCCAUCCCGCGUGCAGGAAGAAUGCCCUAUGGGUUGUAAACUGCUUUUAUCUGGGAAGAAAAGUCGGGAUUUAUCCUGAUCUGACGGUACCAGAGGAAUAAGCACCGGCUAACUCCGUGCCAGCAGCCGCGGUAAAG
rnacentral:rRNA from 1 species